rnacentral:rRNA from 1 species
UCCGUAGGUGAACCUGCGGAAGGAUCAUUAAUCGAAUGAGUAUGCUUCCCUGCAUGAUAUUUCAAACCCCACCUGUCCAUCUUACCUGUUGCUUCCGUGCUGCACAUGCUGCACAUGCUGCAAAGGCGUGCCUUCCGGGCCCCGGGGUAUCCAGGUACUCUCCAUGGCCCUUGAAAGCAGCCGGCACGGGAGGUUUAACCUCAAACUCUUGCCUUUGAAUGCCUUUCGUCUGAACUGUAGUACAUGAAAAGUUAAAACUUUCAACAACGGAUCUCUUGGUUCUCGCAUCGAUGAAGAACGCAGCGAAAUGCGAUAAGUAGUGUGAAUUGCAGAAUUCCGUGAAUCAUCGAAUCUUUGAACGCACAUUGCGCCUCCUGGUAAUCCGAGAGGCAUGCCUGUCCGAGCGUCACUAAGAAGCAACUCGACCGCGCACCGGCGGUUGGUCAUGGAGGAAGAGUCCAUCUUGUUGUGUGUCUCCCCUCCCAAAAUCAACGGCGGAAAGUCACUGGCACUCGGUGUAGUAGUAUUAUUCGCCAAUCAUCCAUUGCUGUUCCUGCCGCUCAAACCCCCAAUAUUCUCUUGAUUGACCUCGGAUCAGGUAGGGAUACCCGCUGAACUUAAGCAUAUCAAUAAGCGGAGGA